CCACUAACACGAUUCUGUUUCACCGCCACAUACACAACUACUAAUCUCACUAAGCAUCCACUCUAACGACCUCCUUCGCCUUCCAUCAUCCGUGUUUCCCGCAGACGCGUACGUUCGCUUUUCCUUCUCCCUUCAUGCAGAGAUCAAGCGAGACGCGCACCCACGUCCAGACACGCACACUCGGCCUCUAACCUCUGCCGACCCGCCACACACUCUGUGAAGCGUCUGCGUAGGACUCCCACACUGCCGACAACACAGCCGAGCAGACGAGAGCGCCAAAGAGCGUCCUUCUCUUUACCUCUGAACUGAGUGCAGCUUAGUGUCCACGCAUUCCGGCUUCUCACCCACCGCACCCUUACGCGCCCGUUGCCACAGCGAGCACCUCGACCCACAAGCCAUUGCAUACUCCAUCCGAGAGCGAGUUCCGAAUCGCUCGGCACCGAGGACAUAACGACAGAUCAGACCUGAACUCCGAGUUUGACAUGGAAGUAGCGCAGGGAUACGACGCGAAAUGCGUGCGGGGGGUGGAGGACGCCUCCUCCGCCGAGGCGCCGGACCCAUACGACUUCUCGCGGUACGACCCGAGGCGCCAGAUCGAGUUGCAGGACAAGAUCCGCGCUGAUCGCGUGGCCCGCCGCCUCGUCCCCGCGAAUGUGUUCCAGAAGUACUUCGACUACUUGGUGCCCUACGGCGGCCUGGUUUCCACGGGCCUCAACCUGGCCAGCUCCUCCAUUGGUGCCGGCAUUAUUGCGCUGCCCUACGCCUUCAACGCCUCUGGUCUUGUUAUGGCCAUCAUCUACAUGUUCAUGAUUGCCUACCUCACCAUCUACUCCUACUACCUGCUGGGCCAGGCGGGCACCAAGACUGGUCUGCGCAACUACGAGCAGAUCGUACGCACGCUCCUCGGCCCUGGCGCGGACUACUUCCUCGCCUUCUGCAUGUGGUUUCUCAGUUUUGGCGGGGAGGUGUCGUACGUCAUCUCCGUGAAGGAUGUGCUGACGGCCUUCCUCGAGGACGCGGACAACACGCCGGCGUUCUUGCUGAACAUCUGGGGCCAGCGCCUCCUCACCUUCCUCGUGUGGCUCGUGGCCAUGCUGCCGCUGUGUCUGCCGAAGGAGAUCAACUCGCUGCGCUACUUCUCCUGCGUCGCGAUUGUGUUCAUAGUGUAUUUUGUGAUUGCGAUGGUAGUGCACAGCGCGCAGAACGGCCUGCGCGCGGAUCCGCGCCCGGAGAUCAGGAUGUUCACGACGGGCAACACCGCCGUUUCUGGGAUGUCCACGUUCAUCUUCGCCUUCCUAUCGCAGCUGAACGCGUAUGAAAGUUAUGAAGAAAUGAACAACCCCACGCCGCUGCGCCUCACGCUGGGUGCCACCAUCUCUGUGGGCAUCGUGUUUGUGUUGUACUUCCUCGCCGGCCUCUUUGGCUACCUUGACUUCGGCACCGAGAUGACCGGCUCCGCGCUGAAGAAGUACAAUCCGGUGAAGGACGUCAUGAUGGGCGUCGGAUACGUGGGUAUCCUGUUCAAGCUGUGCGUUGGGUUCGGUCUGCACAUGAUCCCGGUUCGUGAUGCCAUCUACCACUGCGUCCGCGUGGACGUGCACACGUUUGCGUGGUGGAAGAACGCGUGCGUGUGCGCCUUCAUGGCGCUGCUGUCGCUCGUGGCUGGUCUGUUCAUCCCGAGCAUCAACGUCGUCUUCGGCCUCGUUGGCGGCUUCUCUGGCGGCUUCAUCGGCUUUAUCUACCCCUCCUUCAUGGUCAUGUACUCCGGCAACUGGUCGCUGUCGUCGGUUGGGUGGUUCCACUACCUGUCCACGUACUUUUUGCUGAUUGUCGGCGUCGUUGGCGUCGUGUGGGGCACGGCCAGCUCCAUCUAUGGCGAGAUUUAACUUUUUUUUCUUUGUUAAAGGUCAGUAGGCUAACUGAGUGAAACCGUCGACGCUCGGUGGUAAAGAAGAUGUGGAGAGAGGUGCGUCGUGUCUUCUCAUCGAUUGCCGGCCGGGAGGGUCGUUUUGAAUGUCUCUCUCUCCCUUCUUUGUUGUUCCUUGCCAUGAGUUUAUCCUCAGCUAGCGUGGCUGUGCUCGUCGUUCGUGUUUGUUUUCUUUCUUUUCAUUGUUUUCCUUCUCUGAACUCUCUCGGUGCUGCAGGGAGAGCCUGGUGUACCUGUCGCACAGCCGAAUGGAUGUGUGCGUGGGUGCUCGCCUGCUGGUCAGCUGUGAGACCGAGGUAUGACUGCUGCCUGCGCCCGUUUAUGUUCGGUGGUGUUUCUUCGUCUUCUGGUUCGUGUUUUCGUUUCGUUUUGUGCGGAAGGAGUUCGUCGUUUUUUUUUUCCGUCGCUGUAGCGCCCGGGCCUCCUUUCAUCGGGAAGAAGGGGGACGCAACGGAUGAAAAGGCGAGGCGCGUGACACUGAAAAAUGCCCGUGUGUCUAGCACUGUACUUGUCUGUCGACAUCAACGAGUGACGGCGGCUAUCAUCGUGGUGCUGCAGACCGUAUUGCUUUUGUAAUUUGAGUGGCCGUGUCUGCGCUGUCACUGCCGAUCGGGCAUGUCGCCAUCGGACGCUGCUUACCUCCCUCCUCAUCUCUCAUUUCACUUUUUUAAUAUUUUUUCCCCGUGUAUUUUGUUUCCGUUUUUUUUUUCGCCCCACAGGCUCUGCGGGCGGCCUCUCUGUUACGUUCUACUUCGGGCCUCUUCCGCACGUCUUCACCUUCUUUGUUUUUUUGUGUUUCUCCUUCCUGGGAUCAUGUCUCGACGGCCUCCUCGUCUGAGCGCGGUUGUGGGAUGUGUGUACGCGUUGUCCACGAGGGUGCUUCGGCCAACAUGUUCGACGGGGAUGUCGACAUGCAUCGGCACAGCUCUGCUCAACAUAGCCGCAUACGGAGUGGGUGAAUGCGUAGAAGGCUUGUCUUCCUCCCCCACCAGACCUCAGUCGUGAGGAAAUCGACCGCUAUCGGGACGCCGCUGUUAACGACGGCCGUACAGGGUCGGCUUGUGCACGCUUCAGUGCAUGCUUAUGGAUGCGCGCGUGCACGCAACGUCUCUCCGCACGUGUCCCAAGUCGCCGAUGUGCGUCCCUGCAUUCAGGCGCGCACAGUCCAGCGUUUUACGAUGAAGCGGCGAACUUCUGGAGGAGCAUCCGUGGGCUAUGCGGCACGCACCUUUCCUCAGACGCGCGAAGCGAUUCGAGACACACCUCCAUUGGACGCACUCCUAAGAGUGCGUCUGUGUUGUGGAUGGCGAGGUAGACGCAAGCGAAGGCAGCAGCUGCGGAAGUCUUGUUGUUUACUCCUAAUCCGCGCUUUCUGCUGUUGCUGCGUCCCACUCAGUCCCCAUCGACGGUAUCCGUGAGCAUGUGCGCGACGGAUUUGUUGGGCGUCACCUCUGACACAGCCCACCUGCGCGUACAUACUGCUGUUUUUUUCUUCUCUGAAAUGCCGCCUAAAAAAGGAGCGAAACCACAAGAUCAACGUGAGUGUCUCCCGCAUCCAAGCGUACGGCGGUCUGCUGGCCAGAAGGGCAGCACGCUCAUUGGUGCCUCUCUCUUCUUUUUGUUUCUCUGUGCUUCGCUGCCUUUCCCCCUCCACAGCCCACGCUGAGCGCACGGCACGAGUGAAUGGUGUGUGCGUGUGGGCAGGGGAAGGAGUGGAGGCGAGAGAAAGGCAACACCACGCCAUGAAGUACCACCAAAAAAAAGAGCGAAAAGCGCAAACAAAAAAAAAAGAAAGCAUGUAAUCUCCCCGGUCUGCCUCCCCUCCCUCUCCUCCUUUUCUUCUCUUUUUUUCUUCCUUCUUCCGCUGUUUUUUUUUUCUGUCGUCGUAAAUGUUUUCCCUCCUCUCUCCGCUCGGUGACCCACAGACCGGCAAGCACCGCGCAGUUGAUAACAGCUGUUUCGGUUUUGCUCGUCCUCUGUCUCGCUGCCUUCUUCCUUUUCUCGCGCUCUUUUUUUUCUGAUUUUCGUUUUGAUUUUGAUGGUUGUUGUCUUUUGCCUUUUCUCCGCCCUGACGAUGCCGACCACUUCACGGCGGUACCAGGGUCCGCUACCCCACUCUGCGGGGAAGUCAAGAGCCUGUACGGCCUCACAGGCUCUUGGUGUCGGCGGACAGGACUGGGCUGGCGCUGCGCGGAAGAGACUCGCAGACACGACCACGUGAGUGCCAUCCCACUGCGAGUUCUGUCGACUAUUCAAAACGUGUAUAGCUUCCACCCGCUGCCUUUCGGCUUUUGAGGCGUUGCGGCGAUAUCGAGCUUAGUCCUUGGCCUGGCCUGCGCUGUAUGCAUUUGGGUCGCCGUUUGCUAAAACCACGCCAAACGGUGCUGGCCAUCCGGGGCCGACACAGCCGUCGUGCAGCAGAGGUAGAAGAGCUGUGGUUGUGGACGCGUCUAUGUGUUGGUGUGUUCGUGGUAGAAGGACACACGCUGGCGAAAACAGGAUGUGAACAAGCGUGCUGGCUUUUCGUUUGUGGUUUUUUUGUUCUGUUCCCUCUUACUACUUAGUCUGCGCUCCUUUCGGCUGUGCCUCUUGUCCGACAUCCGGCCCAUUGUUCUCUUCUGCCUCGUUCUUCCUCUCUCGCAGUUUCUCUGCCACGCGACGGCCACUCAAGCAUGUCGACACCACUGCAGAAGAAGUGCGGGAUGUGCUGAAGGAGCACGAAGGAAGUAAACGAAAGGAAGAACGAAGGUGAGCGAGUGGAUGCGUCUGCCGGCGUAAGUGGACGAAGAAGAAGAUCGCCAAAACUCUGCCGCUCCAGGACCGGCGAUAACGUGCAGGACUGGAGAGCGCGGGGCUUUUCGGACACAACACCCGUUAAGGCCCGCUUAUCCUCUUGCACCUUCUUUCCUUUAACGUGUUGGGCGGUGAGGAGCACCUCAUAAUGCCUCACUGUGCCGCAGUCUUUUUAUGGCGGCGACUAUACCCUUCUGAGCGAGAUGUGCUCCGCCUAACGAAAGAAACGAUCCACCAUGGCACGGGGUAAACGGAAUCGCAUCCGCAUCAGACGUGCCUACCCCUGCGUCGUUCGGCGGCCCAACGAACUCGUGUCUUUGUUGUGCUUCACCCACCUCAGUCA
rnacentral:misc_RNA from 1 species